GAAGCUCUGAGGCACCAGGGGGCACAUGGAGAAUGGUAGCUUUCCGUCUCAGUCCUGGCUGGACUUGACAAGACACGACAAGACACGAUCAAGAAGGAAAGUCUUUGUCUCUCUCUUUUCAACAGUUCUGCUCACACUGCCCUGACGGCUGAAAAGGGCUUCAGAGACCCCAAUGGUCUUACUGGCAUUUCUGAAAAUGACAGCAACAUGGCAGUUGGCCUCAGGAAGGCCAGCGACCUCGAGGGAGCAGCAGAGAAGCCAUCAAGAUAAAGAGACUUUAGACUGUAAAACCAGCUCUUACUAUACCAACAACUGGAACAACAAGCCUGAAUGAAAUGAAAACACAUUCAUCAAAGUUACGGUGAAACAGGGACUAUUCAACACAGUUGUGCAAACACAAAGCCAGGAAGAAUUAUGUUGGACACAUAAAGGUAUAGCUUCCAGUGGCAGUGACCUGUGUUUGAGGAGGGGCACUGAAGACGAUAUUUUAGUUCACUUGUGGGUUUAGUGCUGAAACAGCACGUCAGUGCGGAUGUGAACUCUGUGGUGCUGUACAGCCGGGUGAAUCAUCAACUCAGAGAGGGCUCAUAUCUCAGGAAGACAAACAAUGAAGACGAAACAGGAAAAUCUGCGUUAAUCUAUUCCCAAAGGAGGAAUUGUUCAAGGAAUGUGGAGGGAUAGAAAGAGAGACAAUGCCAGGAGGUCUCGUCCAUUCAUUAUAAAUGGAAAGAAGCUAUUCAGGAACGAAAAUAGCCUCUCGGGUUGAAGAUGAAAAUAAACUCACAAUCUCAACACUGAUCCAAAAAAGUUGAACAAGGCUGUCGCCUGUACCAUGUGCCAAAACUGAAAUUUUGACAUAGCGUGUAAUGUAAAAGGUCUAAUAAAUAUUUACUGUUAAUCAAGAAA